GGAUGCAGCAUUUCUGGAGCUGUGCCUUUGACCGGGGGAAAGGCAGAAAGAAGGAUCACAGCUGGGAAGGCAACACAGUGGGGAGCAAAGCUUCCAGCCAGUGGAUGUUAAGCUCUGGAACAGGCUGUGAUUUUUAAAUGCCAGCUCUACUAUGACAGACCAAACCCUUUCCAGCACUGCCCUGCCACCGCAGAUGCUCAGCAGCUCUGAGUCACCUCUAUGCACCGUGUCUGAGGAUGGAUGCCAGAAAAGGCUUCUCUGUGCAGGAUGAUUAGAAGCUGUGAAGUACUGAGUACUGGAAACCCAUAUUGUUCCUGGAUGGAAACCACACAUAAAUGUGAGUACUUCCUUCAGGGGAACACUUCAAGCUACAGGAUGGAAGAGAUGAGGAUGGCAGCGUGUCCUUGGUCCUACUGUUCCUCAGUUUCCCUCUUCACAACAGAGUCAGGGCUACAUCCACAUUGUUUUAAAAAUGACAUAGGACGUUUGGCUAGAAGGCAAAACAGCGAGGGGUGGGAAGCAUUGCCACUAGCACAGAGUACCAGAGCAUGCCCCGCUGGGUGAUCUCCUUCCAUUUGUUUUGUUCUGCCAGUGCUAUUGAAGACCAAUGGAUUUAUCUCUGUUAAAUAAAUGAGGCCUGAGUGGCCA
rnacentral:lncRNA from 1 species